rnacentral:rRNA from 1 species
GAUGAACGCUAGCUACAGGCUUAACACAUGCAAGUCGCGGGACAGCAUGGGGGUUGCUUGCAAUCCCCGAUGGCGACCGGCGCACGGGUGAGUAACGCGUAUCCAACCUGCCCUUCACCACGGGAUAACCCGGCGAAAGUCGGACUAAUACCGUAUGUUGUCCAUUGACGGCAUCCGAUUUGGACGAAAGGUUUGGCGGUGAAGGAUGGGGAUGCGUCCGAUUAGCUGGACGGCGGGGUGACGGCCCACCGUGGCGACGAUCGGUAGGGGUUCUGAGAGGAAGGUCCCCCACACUGGAACUGAGACACGGUCCAGACUCCUACGGGAGGCAGCAGUGAGGAAUAUUGGUCAAUGGGCGUAAGCCUGAACCAGCCAAGUAGCGUGCAGGAGGACGGCCCUAUGGGUUGUAAACUGCUUUUAUGCGGGGAUAAAGUGGCCCACGUGUGGGUUUUUGCAGGUACCGCAUGAAUAAGGACCGGCUAAUUCCGUG